GCUUGUCUCAAAGAUUAAGCCAUGCAUGUCUAAGUAUAAGCCUUUAUAUGGUGAGACUGCGAAUGGCUCAUUAAAUCAGAAACUGUUUAUUUGAUAGUGCCUACUACAUGGAUACCUGUAGUAAUUCUAGAGCUAAUACAUGCAAAAAGCCUGGACUUCUGGAACAGGCGUAUUUAUUAGAUAUACAAACCAACCGCUUCGGCGACCCUUGGUGACUCAUAAUAACUUCGCGAAUCGUUUUCGGACGAUGAUUCAUUCAAAUUUCUGCCCUAUCAACUUUCGACGGUAGGAUAGAGGCCUACUGUGGUGAUAACGGGUAACGAAGAAUAAGGGUUCGAUUUCGGAGAGGGAGCCUGAGAAACGGCUACCACAUCCAAGGAAGGCAGCAGG
rnacentral:rRNA from 1 species